rnacentral:sRNA from 1 species
GGUGGGCGUGGUGGCGCACACCUGUAAUCCCAGUGGCUUAGGAGGCUGAGACAGGAGGAUCAUGAGUUCAAAGCCAGCCUCAGCAAAAGUGAGACGCUAAGCAACUCAGUGAGACACUGUCUCUA